CCUACCCUUGGGACGGAAACAACCCCGGGAAACUGGGGCUAAUUUCCGAUAGGUGAAGACUCCUGGAAUGGAUCUUCGCCCAAAAGGCAUUUAGACCAUGCUUCUAGGCGCUGCCCAAGGAUGGGGCCGCGGCCGAUCAGGUUGUUGGUGAGGUAACGGCUCACCAAGCCUUUAACCGGUUCGGGCCGUGAGAGCGGGAGCCCGGAGAUGGGCACUGAGACAAGGGCCCAGGCCCUACGGGGCGCAGCAGUCGCGAAAACUCCGCAAUACGCGGGAGCGUGACGGGGCCAUCCCGAGUGCCGUCCGCUGAGGAUGGCUUUUCCCCAGUGUAGAUAGCAGGGGGAAAUAAGGAGAGGGCAAGUCUGGUGUCAGCCGCCGCGGUAAUACCAGCUCUCCGAGUGGUGGGGAUGUUUAUUGGGCUUAAAGCAUCCGUAGCUGGCUGGGCAAGUUCCCUGUUAAAUCUAACGAUUCAAUCGUUGGUUUGCGGGGAAUACUGCUCGGCUAGGGGGCGAGAGAGGCCGACGGUAUUCCCGGGGUAGGGGUGAAAUCCUAUAAUCCCGGGAGGACCACCAGUGGCGAAAGCUGUCGGCUAGAACGCGCCCGACGGUGAGGGAUGAAAGCUGGGGGAGCGAACCGGAUUAGAUACCCGGGUAGUCCCAGCUGUAAACGAUGCAAGGCUAGGUGUCCGGGCGGCCACGUGCCGCUCGAGUGCCGCAUGGAAACUGUUAAGC
rnacentral:rRNA from 1 species